rnacentral:rRNA from 23 species
GCGACCCCAGGUCAGGCGGGAUUACCC